rnacentral:lncRNA from 1 species
CUACCAAUAUCAGUAACUUUUAGCUUUUUUAAAUAAUCUGAAAGAGCCCAGUGAAGAAAUGGCCGGUAAAAUCUCAGCCCACAAUGAUAUAACAGAAUGACGGAGAAUUACCAAUCUCUUCGUCUGCCCAAAUUAGUGAAUGAAGAAUAUGCCAUACGACUUCCAAUUGGGGGGGUUGUUCAUGCAAACACAAUGGGCCGC